rnacentral:lncRNA from 1 species
CCGGGCCGGGCUCUGCUCUCACGCCGCGCCCGGGAGACCGGGGCUGGGGGGAAGGGGGGGGCGAAGGGCGGAAGGGGUGGGCGCGGGGAGCGGCCGGCGGGGUCCCGGGCAGGUGCAGCGGCCGCCCCGAGCGCAGCUCCCGCCUGGCCGAGCCUCUCGGCGCCCCGCGUCCCGGGCGGGCAGAUAUCGAGCGCCGCGGAGCCGCCCCCCGCGUCAGCGCCCACAGAUUGGCGGAGCCGCCGCCCCACGAGUCACGGCUGGGCCCGGGCCGGCUGCGCUCCCGCUCUCCUUCCUCCUCCCCUCGGCCGCGCCCCGCGACGCCUCUGAGCUCCGGGCCCGCUAAGGAGAGGGCUCCUCCUGCCCGCGGUUUGCAGAGGGAAGCGGCGGAGACCGGGAGGGCGCGCUCGGUUCUGGCCAGGCCAGCAGCUGCGGCCGAGUGGGGGGCUCCGGCCUGGCCGCUUCCUGGGACCCCCUCCCGCCCGGGGCCGCCGCCGCCAGCUGCAGCCUCUCGGCUCCUCCCCAGAGGAGCGCGGGGCCGGGGCCCAGGCCAAGUCCCUCCCCGGAGCCGCGGGGCGUCUGCGCCGCCGGAUGAGCUCCCCGCCGGGCGGCGACCCCGUGCCCCACGCCCGUCUCGGCAAGGAGGAGGCGGAGGCGGCCCCGCGAGAGAGGCCCAAGGAGCGACUGGGCCUGGACCCAGGGGACGCCAGGGCAGCGGAGCUCCCGGCACCGGUCCCGUCCCCCCCCCCCCGCCCACCCGCGGGACGCGCCCGCCUUAACCCUCCAGGCGCCGGGCCCGCUGGGGGCGCUGAGAGGGGCUGGUGUGCCGGGGGCGCCUUCCUGCUUGGGGCCGACGGGGGUGUGUGAGUGCAGGCGUGUGCGUGUGUGUGCGCAUGUGUGUGUGUGGAUGUGCGUGUGCGUGUGUAUGCCUGUGUGUGUUUGUGUGUGCGUCUGUGUGCAUGUGUGUGUGCACAUGCAUGUGUGUUCACGUGAGUGCAUCUCAUCUGUCACCCACAACCAGGGGAGCGGUGCUUGUACAACCAGCUGGUGGCUUCUGCAACCAGCAGCUUCUGGCCGUGCAGCUCCCUGUAGGGAAUAUGAGUUAAUCUGGAUGUCAGCCUAAGAUGUAGUCAGGGAGGUAAGUGUGUGGGAGGAGGCCACAUCCCCUGUGCCUCAAGCCGGCUGCUUCCACAGUGCCCAGACUGCCUGGGCCAGCAGCCUCGCCAGCAAGCCCAGGCGGGUGGGCCGGGAGCAGGGCCUGGGCCCCCCCUCUUACUUUCACCGGCUGGCUGUGUUACCAGGGCCCUCUCCGCCCUCUCUGAGCCUCAGUUUCCUCUGAUGUGAAUUAAGGGCGUUGAGCCCAUUGUUCCUGAGGAAUCACUCAUCUCUGAGCCUGGCCCAUUGCCUGGCAUUCCGUGGGCACCCACUAGAUACUUAUAAGGGGAGAAGUUGUUCCAGUCCGGCUGGCCAGUGGAAUCCAUGCGUCUUGGGCCAUUUGAAAGUGGUUUUUGGGAGCCCGGCAGCUAUCUGGACCCGUGUGCACCCCUGGACGCCUCCCUCCCUCGCAGAGGGUCCUGGUUCAUCUCGUCUGUUGCCUCUUAGAACAGUGGCCUCUACCUCGCCAGGUCCUUCAGAAGCGCCCCCCUCCCUGCCCCGCCACUGUUUUCCCAACAGCACCCGCCGUGGUCUGAGGACACUUUCUUCUGCUCCUGUUUAUUGUUUAUCUCCCCCAAGCACAAGCAGUCGAGUUAAGACAGGAGCCUCGUUCAAAGUUCCGCCCGGGGCCAGGCACAGCGCAGGCUCUCAGAGGAGGGCCCAGGAGUCCACAGGCUGCGGCGGCGCGAGACAAAAGUCGGAAGACAGGACCCCGCUGAGGAGUGAGGAGACAGCGGCCAACCCUCCGCCAGACCCUUCCGCCUGGUGCCUUUACUGGGCUCUGAGGAGGAAUUUGGUGGUUCAGUCGGCCCAUCCGUGGACACCAUAAAAACAAAGAGAAAACAGACACACACAGAUGCACACAUAGAUACACACAGAUACACACAGACACGGAUAUAUAGACACACACAGAUACACACACGUGGACACAGACACACACAUAGACACAGAUAUAUAGACACACACAGAUACACACACGUGGACACAAACACACACAGACAUACCCAUAGUUACGGAUAUAUGCAUGGAUACACAAUACACAGACACACAGAUGAUACAUGCAUAGACAGAUAUAUGGACACACACACACGGACACACAGAUACACACAUAGACACAUAGACAGACACAGAUACAGACACAGGCACAUGUAGACACACAUGGACAUACAAUACUCAGAUGAACACAGAGAUAAUAUACACAUAGACACAGAUCUAUAGAUACACAAAGACAUACACACAGAUAUACAUAGAUGCACACAUAGACACAGAUACACAUGUCAUCACACAUGGACACACACAGACACACACCAAUACACACAUAGACAUACGAAGACACAGGUACACAGACACGUAUACACACAGACACGCAUAUAUACAUACAGACGCAGAUAUACACACAGACACAGACAUACACACACACACAGACACAGAUAUACACAGAUACAUGGACAGAUACACAUUCACAUACACACAUAGAUACACAGAAACACACAGACACACAGACACAUAGAGACACACACACAGCCACACAGGCCCUGAGCCUCCCUGGGCCCUCCCUUGUGCAGAGGCGGAGGGGCUGGCUGUCGGGGAGGGCACCUGGAGAGGACACACAGCCCCAUCAGAGACCAGGGAGUGGCUCUGGGAGCUCUUUUCGUCCAAAGGGGCUGGAGCUCCAGUUAGCCAAGGUGAGCGCGUGAGGGCGUGGAGGAUUCCUGGGGGAAGCUUCGUGCUGCAAGGUGGAAAAGACAGAUAACAAGAGAAAAACAGAAGCUUAAUAGCAUGUAUACCUUGGUCUGCAAGGGACGGACUCGGGACAGGCUAUGUCGCAAAGGCGUGGCUUGGAGCUCAGCCUUAAAGACCAUGUUCGACGGAAACAAAGAGAAAGAGUGUGUGGGGAGGGGCCCAAGAAAUUACCCCAAACUGGGGUCAGGCCUUCUCCAUGGAUGAGCGUCUCCGGUGACUUACAGGCGGCCUUCUGGCCCAGAGAGGGGGCACCCUGGUGAGCGCAGAUGCCUGUACGGAUGUGACUUUCUCUCAUAGAACAGCAGCUUCCACUCUUGUUUUCAGAAUUUCUCCUGUGGUUGCAGUUUCUCAAAAUAAGCAGCUCAAAAUAAUGCUUAUGCCAAAGAGGCAUAUUUUGGGGUGGCAUAUUCUGGUCUGCUCUACGUGGAAGCGGACAGAAAAAUGGGGCAGAGGCCAGGGAGGGGAGCGGGACCGACUUCCAGUUCCCAGACCCGAGCAAGGGAACCUGAGGCCGAGCUCUGGAGCUUGGGGUCUGGAAGGGGUUCUCUGAGGACACUCUGGGAGUGGGGGAACAGCUGCCUCCUCAGGUUUCCCCCAAGGGAUCCUGCCUGGGGAGACCUGGACUGGGCAAGGCUUGGCAGCUGCCCUGCCAGGAGGAGGGAGACGGCUGCAGUGGGGGGGUGCAGGGUCGCUGGGGUCCCACCCGGGGGUGCUGGGACCGGCCAGAGGACACUGCGAUUUCCCAAUGGGCCAGGAAGGAAGGAGGCGCUUUCCAGGCAGAGCAUGACCCCGCACAGGAGGCAGAGACAGAGUCUCUGAGUGUCCCCGUCAGGUCCCUGGGACUGUGGCAGGGGAAGAAGCCGCAGUACCUCCUGCCCUUUAGGACAGGAGAGGUUGUCGUCCCAGCGUUGCCCAGCAGCUGGUUGGAGCCCAGGGCUCCUCAGAUGAGCCAGCGCCUGAGCCCUGAGCUGCCAGCUGGCCUGGCUGGAGCCGCCACUGAUCUUCCCAGGAGAAAGAGGCCGCCGUGCGUAAGUAGCGAGGUAUAAGAGGACGUGUAGAGCCGUGUCGCUCGCGCAAGAAGGGGAAAGAAGGAAGCCUGUCUGCAUGGCUGCGCAGGGGAUAUUGGAACAGAACUGAAGGAACUCAUGCAACGCUUCUCUGUGAAGGGGGCACCGCGAUGUAUGGACAAGGGUGGGAAAGGGAUGCUGGGCCAUAAAGUUUGGGGUGCGUGAUGGUGUGGAGGAGAAAGCCCUCCUGGGAGCUGUGGCCAGGGAGUGUGCAGUCCACGAGCAGAUGGAGCUUUAUGUGCCUCCCACCUCCUCCCAGGGGCCCCCCACGACUCGCUGAGGCCCCAUCAGCAACAGGAUGACGGGUUUUCUUUCCCACACAGAUCGGGGACGUCCCAGCCUCCUGAGGUGGGGCAGAGGCGGGCACCGCAGCCCAAGAGCUGGCUUUCCCCCUGCACCUCCACCCAUGCGUUGGCCUGGAGUGGCCCAGCGGAGGGUCCAGGUGGGGGUGCUGGAGGGGCCCACCCAGCUCAGGCCUGGCACCUGCACCUUUCUGGAUCCCACGAUGUUUUGCUGAGGGUUACUCAUCCAAGACCUGCCCGGAGGCUCCGAGCUGUUUACCACAGGCCAGCUCUGGCCGUAGCCUAUUCUGGGAGCCUGGGGGUGCUGGGAGGAGGCUGGGGCUCUGGGUGGCAGGAGGAGGAGAGCCGUCUUGUCCUUACUGAGCGUCCAGCGGGCGCCAGAUGCUGCGCCGCGUGCAAUUCUAAUCCUGGCCGGCAAAGCCAGAACGGGACAAUAUUCCUUCCUCCCCAGGCCUCCCGCUUGGCUGUGGGUGCUGACGGGCAAUGGGCCUGGCUAUCGGGGCUCACAGGGGAGCCGGGAGAGCCGCUAGCAGGAGAAAAUGUGAGCUCUGCAUCUGCUGGGCUGGGUUCGGGGGACGCGGGGUGGCUGGGGAGGGUCGUGCUCGUCCCUCCGGCUGCUGUCGCUGGCCCGCCGGCCAGUCCGCCCCAACGCUGGACUCCUGGGCUAUCCGUUCCCCACCCACCGUCUGAGGGUCUUUGAAAAUAGAACUCAUUCGUUUUCAUUAAAAGCAACCGAUCAAGAAGCCGAAAACACAAGAAUAAAACAAUGUAAAAGCUUGACUUUAUUUUGUAUCCGUCAAACACAGGACUCACAGUCCGUUACACAUGGAGCAUUCGCAACACUGAUCAUGUUCUGAUGGUCACACAAUGUCGGGAAAUUCCAAAAGGCAGAUAAUCUAGAGUCUGUUCACGGCAUCCACACACACACACCGGUGCACAGGCACACGAGCACACAGUCUACAGAUUGUUCGUAGACACAGUGUGGUAUAAUGAACAAAAGCUGGCUUUAAAAAUAGUUCUACCUGGGCCCGGUGCGGUGGCUCACGCCUGUAAUCCCAGCGCUUUGGGAGGCCGAGGCGGGUGGAUCACCAGAGGUCAGGAGUUCGAGACCAG